UUACGGGAGGCAGCAGUGGGGAAUUUUGGACAAUGGGGGCAACCCUGAUCCAGCCAUUCCGCGUGAGUGAAGAAGGCCUUCGGGUUGUAAAGCUCUUUUGUCCGGAGCGAAACGGCUACGACUAAUACUCGUGGCUACUGACGGUACCGGAAGAAUAAGCACCGGCUAACUACGUGCCAGCAGCCGCGGUAAUACGUAGGGUGCGAGCGUUAAUCGGAAUUACUGGGCGUAAAGCGUGCGCAGGCGGUUUUGUAAGCCAGAUGUGAAAUCCCCGGGCUCAACCUGGGAAUGGCAUUUGGGACUGCAAGGCUUGAGUGCGGCAGAGGAGACUGGAAUUCCUGGUGUAGCAGUGAAAUGCGUAGAUAUCAGGAGGAAUACCGAUGGCGAAGGCAGGUCUCUGGGCUGACACUGACGCUCAUGCACGAAAGCGUGGGGAGCAAACAGGAUUAGAAACCCGAGUAGUCCC
rnacentral:rRNA from 1 species